GGGCCCGCACAAGCGGAGGAGCAUGUGGUUUAAUUCGAUGAUACGCGAGGAACCUUACCAGGGCUUAAAUGGGAGACGACAGGACUGGAAACAGUUUUUUCUUCGGACGUCUUUCAAGGUGCUGCAUGGUUGUCGUCAGCUCGUGCCGUGAGGUGUCAGGUUAAGUCCUAUAACGAGCGCAACCCCUAUUGUUAGUUGCCAUCGGGUCAUGCCGGGAACUCUAACAAGACUGCCGGUGCAAACCGUGAGGAAGGUGGGGAUGACGUCAAAUCAUCACGGCCCUUACGUCCUGGGCUACACACGUGCUACAAUGGACGGUACAGAGAGCAGCCACUACGCAAGUAGGUGCGAAUCUUCAAAGCCGUUCUCAGUUCGGAUCGGAGUCUGCAACUCGACUCCGUGAAGCUGGAUUCGCUAGUAAUCGCAUAUCAGCCAUGAUGCGGUGAAUACGUUCCCGGGCCUU
rnacentral:rRNA from 1 species